rnacentral:rRNA from 1 species
UACGUAGGGGGCAAGCGUUGUCCGGAUUUAUUGGGCGUAAAGCGCGUGUAGGCGGCUGGGUAGGUCCGCUGUGAAAACUCGAGGCUCAACCUCGAGACGUCGGCGGAAACCAUCCAGCUAGAGUCCGGAAGAGGAGAGUGGAAUUCCUGGUGUAGCGGUGAAAUGCGCAGAUAUCAGGAAGAACACCCGUGGCGAAAGCGGCUCUCUGGGCCUUACCUGACGCUGAGGAGCGAAAGCGUGGGGAGCGAACAGG